rnacentral:rRNA from 1 species
AUUGAACGCUGGCGGCAUGCCUUACACAUGCAAGUCGAACGGUAACAGGUCUUCGGAUGCUGACGAGUGGCGAACGGGUGAGUAAUACAUCGGAACGUGCCUGGUAGUGGGGGAUAACUACUCGAAAGAGUGGCUAAUACCGCAUGAGAUCUACGGAUGAAAGCAGGGGAUCGCAAGACCUUGUGCUACUAGAGCGGCCGAUGGCAGAUUAGGUAGUUGGUGGGAUAAAAGCUUACCAAGCCGACGAUCUGUAGCUGGUCUGAGAGGACGAGCAGCCACACUGGGACUGAGAAACGGCCCAGACUCCUACGGGAGGCAGCAGUGGGGAAUUUUGGACAAUGGGCGCAAGCCUGAUCCGGCAAUGCCGCGUGCAGGAUGAAGGCCUUCGGGUUGUAAACUGCUUUUGUACGGAACGAAAAGCCCCGGGUUAAUACCCUGGGGUCAUGACGGUACCGUAAGAAUAAGCACCGGCUAACUACGUGCCAGCCGCCGCAGUAA